rnacentral:rRNA from 1 species
UACGUAGGGGGGCAAGCGUUGUCCGGAUUUAUUGGGCGUAAAGAGCGUGUAGGCGGCCAAACAGGUCCGUUGUGAAAACUGGAGGCUCAACUUCCAGACGUCGACGGAAACCGUGUGGCUAGAGUCCGGAAGAGGAGAGUGGAAUUCCUGGUGUAGCGGUGAAAUGCGCAGAUAUCAGGAAGAACACCAAUGGCGAAGGCAGCUCUCUGGGACGGUACUGACGCUGAGACGCGAAAGCGUGGGGAGCGAACAGG